rnacentral:misc_RNA from 1 species
GAUGAAGAACGCAGCGAAAUGCGAUAAGUAGUGUGAAUUGCAGAAUUCAGUGAAUCAUCGAAUCUUUGAACGCACAUUGCGCCCCUCGGUAUUCCGUGGGGCAUGCCUGUUCGAGCGUCAUCUACACCCUCAAGCUCUGCUUGGUGUUGGGCGUCUGUCCCGCCUCUGCGCGCGGACUCGCCCCAAAUUCAUUGGCAGCGGUCUUUGCCUCCUCUCGCGCAGCACAAUUCCGUCUGCGAGGGGGCGUGGCCCGCAUCCACGAAGCAACAUUACCGUCUUUGACCUCGGAUCAGGUAGGGAUACCCGCUGAACUUAAGCAUAUCAAUAAGCGGAGGA